rnacentral:rRNA from 1 species
CCCUUAGAUGUUCUGGGCCGCACGCGCGCUACACUGACGAAUGCAACGAGCUUAUAACCUUGGCCGAAAGGUCUGGGUAAUCUCCAAAUUUCGUCGUGAUGGGGAUAGAUUAUUGCAAUUAUUAAUCUUCAACGAGGAAUGCCUAGUAAGCGCAAGUCAUCAGCUUGCGUUGAUUACGUCCCUGCCCUUUGUACACACCGCCCGUCGCUCCUACCGAUUGAAUGGUCCGGUGAAGCGCUCGGACCGCGGCCUCUUGACGGUUCGCUGUCGAUUGGCUGUGGGAAGUUCGUUGAACCUUAUCAUUUAGAGGAAGGAGAAGUCGUAACA